UGGGGAAUCUUGCACAAUGGGCGCAAGCCUGAUGCAGCAACGCCGCGUGCGGGAAGACGGCCCUAGGGUUGUAAACCGCUUUCAGGAGGGAAGAAAAUGACGGUACCUCCAGAAGAAGGUGCGGCCAACUACGUGCCAGCAGCCGCGGUGACACGUAGGCACCAAGCGUUAUCCGGAUUUAUUGGGCGUAAAGAGCUCGUAGGCGGUUCGGUAAGUCGGGUGUGAAAAUCCAAGGCUCAACCUUGGGACGCCACCCGAUACUGCUGUGACUCGAGUGCAGUAGGGGAGCGGGGAAUUCCUGGUGUAGCGGUGAAAUGCGCAGAUAUCAGGAGGAACACCAGUGGCGAAGGCGCCGCUCUGGGGCCGUAACUGACGCUGAGGAGCGAAAAGCAUGGGGUAGCAAAACAGGAUUAGAUACCCUGGUAGUCCAUGCCGUAAAACGAUGAAUGCCAGACGUCGGGGGCAUGCCCUUCGGUGUCACACCUAACGGAUUAAGCAUUCCG
rnacentral:rRNA from 1 species